rnacentral:rRNA from 1 species
AUGAAGACCGAGCUGGCAGCUCUCCGCUCCAUUCUUACUGCUUUUGGCCUGGCUUCCGGGCUUAAGGUAAACUUCGAGAAAAGUGUCGUCCUCCCCAUAAGGUGCGAGCAGUUGGACGUGCAUGACGUGAUCUCACCUCUAAGGGCUAGGGUUGAGAGCUUCCCCUGCAAAUUUUUGGGGCUGCCGCUGUCGCUUCGGACCUUGCGUAAAGUGGACCUGCAACCGCUGCUGGACAAGCUCCGCACACGCCUGGCGCGCUGGAAGGCCGGGUUGCUCACCCUUGCUGGUAGACUGGUUCUCCUCAACUCCGUCCUGACUGCUUUCACCAUAUACUGGUCGGCCGUCUAUGCGCUCCCGCCAUGGGUUCGUAAGGAGUUGGAUCGGCUACGGCGUGCAUGGUUAUGGCGUGGGGAGGAGGUGUGCCAUGGCGGGCACUGCAAAGUUGUGUGGAGCCGCGUUUGCCGCCCGCGUGAUCUUGGCGGGCUCGGUAUCGUCGACCUGGAGCGGUUUGGCAUGGCGCUCCGCCUCCGCUGGCUCUGGGCGGAAAGGACCUCCGUCGUCCCUUGGCAGGGUUUACCGGUCCCAGUGACACUUGCGGAACGACAUAUGUUUGCGGCGGCAUGUGCGGUCACCGUUGGGGAUGGCAACCGAGUCAGUUUCUGGUACGAUAGCUGGCUGCCCGAGGGCGCGCCACUCGUGAUCGCCCCUGAUCUAUUCAAGGUCUCAAGACGCAAGGUGCGCUCCGUGCGUCAGCACUGUUAG